rnacentral:rRNA from 1 species
AUGGGUAGCUGCGUGAGCAAGAAGGCCGCGCGCGGCAGUGCCGAGGCCAAGGUGGCGCCGCCGCUCCCGCCGGAGAAGGAUAAUGCCUUGCCUCCGCCGCCCGUGGUGGUGGAGGAGGAGGUCAAGGAGGUGUUGUCGGAGACGGCAGUGCGGCGGACAAGCCCGCCGGAGCCGGAGCCGCAGCCUGAGCCUGAGCCUGAGAAGGAGAAGAUGGUACAGGAACACGAGGAAAUCGAUGCUUCCGAUAGCGUGUCGGUGGGUUCCUCCGUGGUGGACAAGGCGAUGGUGAAGGCUGGAAGGGAGCAGGAAGUGGAGAAGAGGACGGUGGACGUGCCGGAGAAGGGGAGGGCCAGGAGGAUGGAACCGGAGCAGAAGAAGAAAUGCAAGGACGCCGGGAACGGCAGGGCGCGGUCGCCGUCCCCUGCGGCGAAGCAGAGGAGGUCGGGGACCAAUGUCAGCGAGCAGCCGGUGCCGCCGCGGCCGCGGCGAGAGUCGCCCGCGGUGGUGUCCGGCAUCGGGUGCCGCAGUGGCAGAUUCUCCCCUUCCGCAGCGAGGAGGGCCGCCGAGAGCGCCGUCAGACGGAGCUACUCCGCAAGGGAAGCCGACAUGGCGCUGCCGUCGUCUGCCAAGCGCUCCCUCAACACAAACAUCAACGGUAACGGAGGGAGUGGCGUCAGGCGGGACCCUGGCGAGCAUUCUGGCAGGAGGUCAGAUUCCCCGUCUAGGCGCCCGCCGGCCUCUCCGGCAGCAAACGGCGCCAUCAGCCGGCAAUCGAGCGCCACCCGGAAGGCUCCGAAGGAGAACACCAGUUCGGAGAAAACCAAGCAGCAAUGCGGCCGCGGACGGGCCCCGAUGGAGGUUGGAGUUGAACUCGACGAGGCGCCAUUGGCAGGAAAAGAGCGCAGGGAGGCGGCGGACGCCGCGAUGGGCCAGAACCCCUCGGUGGCUAUGGAGUGCGUCAUCUUCCUUUAG